rnacentral:rRNA from 1 species
AGUGAACGCUGGCGGUAGGCCUAACACAUGCAAGUCGAACGGCAGCACAGUAAGAGCUUGCUCUUACGGGUGGCGAGUGGCGGACGGGUGAGGAAUACAUCGGAAUCUACUUUUUCGUGGGGGAUAACGUAGGGAAACUUACGCUAAUACCGCAUACGACCUACGGGUGAAAGCAGGGGAUCUUCGGACCUUGCGCGAUUGAAUGAGCCGAUGUCGGAUUAGCUAGUUGGCGGGGUAAAGGCCCACCAAGGCGACGAUCCGUAGCCGGUCUGAGAGGAUGAUCAGCCACACUGGAACUGAGACACGGUCCAGACUCCUACGGGAGGCAGCAGUGGGGAAUAUUGGACAAUGGGCGCAAGCCUGAUCCAGCCAUACCGCGUGGGUGAAGAAGGCCUUCGGGUUGUAAAGCCCUUUUGUUGGGAAAGAAAAGCAGCGGGUUAAUACCCCGCUGUUCUGACGGUACCCAAAGAAUAAGCACCGGCUAACUUCGUG